rnacentral:rRNA from 1 species
AUUGAACGCUGGCGGCAUGCCUUACACAUGCAAGUCGAACGGCAGCACGGGUGCUUGCACCUGGUGGCGAGUGGCGAACGGGUGAGUAAUACAUCGGAACGUACCUUAUCGUGGGGGAUAACGCAGCGAGAGCUGUGCUAAUACCGCAUACGCCCUGAGGGGGAAAGCGGGGGAUUGCAAGACCUCGCGCGAUUAGAGCGGCCGAUGCCUGAUUAGCUUGUUGGUGGGGUAAAAGCCCACCAAGGCGACGAUCAGUAGCUGGUCUGAGAGGACGAUCAGCCACACUGGGACUGAGACACGGCCCAGACUCCUACGGGAGGCAGCAGUGGGGAAUUUUGGACAAUGGGGGCAACCCUGAUCCAGCAAUGCCGCGUGAGUGAAGAAGGCCUUCGGGUUGUAAAGCUCUUUUGUCAGGGAAGAAACACCGGCUCUAACACAGUCUGGGAAUGACGGUACCUGAAGAAUAAGCACCGGCUAACUACGUGCCAGCAGCCGCCGUAA